rnacentral:rRNA from 1 species
GUAGGUGGCAAGCGUUGUCCGGAUUUACUGGGCGUAAAGCGCGCGCAGGCGGGCCCGUCAAGUCUAGGGGUGAAAUCUCCCGGCUCAACCGGGAGGGGUCUCUGGAGACUGACGGGCUUGAGGGGAGCAGAGGAGAGCGGAAUUCCCGGUGUAGCGGUGAUAUGCGUAGAUAUCGGGAGGAACACCAGUGGCGAAGGCGGCUCUCUGGGCUCACCCUGACGCUGAGGCGCGAAAGCGUGGGUAGCGAACCGGAUUAGAUACCCGGGUAGUCCACGCUGUAAACGUUGGGCACUAGGUGUGGGGGGUAUUGACCCCCUCCGUGCCGUAGCUAACGCGAUAAGUGCCCCGCCUGGGGAGUACGGCCGCAAGGCUA